AGACAGGUGGUAAACCGAGAGCUGUGUGCAGGGAGCUGGGGUGGACGCAAACACAGAGGAGUGAGGACGGAAGGCACAGCGGUAACGAGACAGAGGGAAGCUCAGGCAUGUCACCCAACGGGCAGCAGAAACGAAUCUCUAGGAGCAGGAACUUUCUGUGAAGCCGCCCCCAUGGCUCCAGGGCAGGCCGGGGACCUGGGGGCCUCAAGGACACUUACUCACAAUCUGGCCGGCUGGCAGCACCUGCUCCCUGGUGUCAUUGGAGGACGAGGGCGUCGCUGAGGGGAAGAGACACGCAUGUUGGCCAGGUCUGCUCAGAACCCUAGCACCCUACACCCCCUGCCACCCUUGGUCUCUCAGCACAAUCGGAGAUGCAGGCAGGAUAACAUGGUCCAUCCCGGGGAACCCCUCCACCCCCUGCAGGGCUCCCGGAGUCCAGCAGGCAGUGGUGUCUGUUUGGAUGCCCCUGGCAGGUGCUCACGGUAGCAGCUUGGGAAGCCCGUGAAGCCCUCGGCACACACGUCACACCGCUCCCCAGAGAAGUUGGGCCGGCAGUAGCAUCGACCCGUCAGGUCCUCGCAGGUGCCAUCCGUGAAGUCGGACUCGCAGUUGCAGCCUGGGCAGGGGCAGGAGCCGGGUAAGCCUGGAGCUACCAGGACUCAAGGGGUGGGCUCCAAGAUGUGGCAGUCUCUACCUCCCCAGCCAGGGCCAUGGGGAUGAGGGCUACAGCCAGGCCCCCUGGGGGGACAUGAGGGCUGGGGACCCGCCCCGUGGCCUGGGAGGCUCCUUCCUGGGCUGGCCUGGAAGCUCAGGACAUCCCCUCCAAAGCAGCCCCAAAGGCCCAAGAACACCUCUUUCCAGGCAGACCCUGAGACCCAGGACACCCGCCCAGCUGAGCCCACUCACGGCGGCAGACGUGGGGCGAGUCGAGAGGGUGGUUGGGAGAGCGGUAGAAGCCGGGCAGGCAGCGCUCACAGUUGACGCCGGUGGUGUGGUGCUGGGAGUGCAAUGGCCGUUGAGUCUGGGGAGGUCCCUGCCCCACCUCAGGGCCAGCCCAUUCCCAGCCCUCUAGCCCAGCCCACCUGGCAGUCGAUACAGACACCCCCACCCUGAUAGGUGCCAUCCAGGCUCUGGCUGGCGCGGCGCCGGUCCACCUCAGGGUCGUAGUAACAGUCGGUGGCAUGGCCGUAGCAGUUACAGGCUAGAGAGAGGGGAGCGCAGCUGUUGGCACGCCCUCCACAGGCCCGGGCACCGGGGCCCUCUCAUGGGCCAGGGUGUGGGCAGGACACACGUGUGUGGGAGGAGGCACUCACACUGGCACUCGUUGGCACUGUUGGCAGUCGCAGGCUUCCACGGCUGCUGAUUGAAGCCGGGGCAGCAGCGGUCGCAGGUGCCCCCGCAGGUGUUGUGCUGGCAGGUGCACUGCAGCCUGUGGGGUACACAGGAGGGGGGAUCAGGCCCAUCCUGGAGGCAGGUGGCAGGUGCUCAGUCCCUUCCCUGAAGGGGCCUGUGAUCCCCUCGAUGGCUUGGCUUGCCACAUGGACACGGCCCCCCGCUGCUGUUUCUCCAGCUGUCCGGCAGCAAGCGCUCGCCCAGACUCAGCGUCCCCGAGCCUGUGGCUCUGACGCAACUUCCCCAGGCUCAGGGAAUGGACACAAGGAAAGAGGCGGUGGAGGACAGGGUCUCACAGGGCCUUUGUGGAGGCGGGACUGGGGAGCAGGUGUGCACUGACCGGGUGGGGCCUAGGACAGGGCACCUCAGGGGUCAGUAGAGUCCCCCUUGCCUGCAGGUCAGGAUGGAGACCUGCGUUCUCCAAAACUGAGUUAUGCCCUUUCCACUUCGGCCAGGACUCGAGCGUAAGCCCAAAACCUCCCUGAGCCAGAAGGGAAAGGGGUCCAUUUGCACCCCCCAAGGCUCAGAUUUCGCUUAGCAGGCAGGACUCCUAGGCAUCCUGGUCACCUCCCUAGGGCCAAGUGGCCAAGAACUGCUUCCUUCUUCCAGCUGGGGUGGACACUAAGUCACAGGGCUGGAAUCUUGCCUUACGUCCCGUGGGCAGGGUGACAGCUGGAGAGAGACAAGGCCUGAGGUUGGAAGCACCUACUGCUCAGUAUUAGCCAGACCACAGCGGGAGUCCCUGCCCCAGAUCAGGCUCUGCCGGAGGCUGCAGGGCCGUGCGUUCCCUGAGCAGGACCCCAGAAGUCAGUCCAGUCCAUGAGGAUUAGACCCAGAGCCUCAAAUGGUCCAGCUCUAGUCCUGUCCUCCACGGGGCCCACCUCACAGGGCCUCGGGAAUCAAUACUGCUUUCCCUCAGAAUCCAGAAACAUCUGGGAGGGCCAUACCCUCAAUGAGAGGAAUUGGGAAAUAAACUGCCCGUCAGCACAGGUGAUCAACAAAGAAGCUGCUCUGUCGUCACACCAGCCCCAAGUACCUAUAAGCAAGGGCCUGAACUGGUGUUCCAUUUUUCAAAAAUCCACAUAGUCAAGAAAUUGAUAGGAAAAGUGGUGCCGGGCUGGCGAUACCCUGGGGUGUAUAGCAAAAGCUCUCCCAAAACCAUCCCAAUCCCAGGGCACGCCAGAAGCACAAAGAUAAACCCUGCUAAAGACCUUGCAGAGAAACAAUGUGGCAGGUCAGCAGAAAGAGCCCCAAGAACCUCACAAAAUGGAGUAAUCUAGUAGAAGCCAGGGAAGAAUGUUAAAAAUGGUCA